GGGUCGUUAGCUCAGCUGGUAGAGCAGUGGACUUUUAAUCCAACGGUCGGGGGUUCGAACCCCUCACGACCCA
rnacentral:tRNA from 1 species